GAGAACCGUAGCUCACUUGGGAGGAGGUGCACAUAAUUCUUAUUGAGUGAGCUGAAUUUUGGUGCUGUUGAUUAUUGCUUGGACACAAGGAGGACGUAAAAGCUUUUGAGGACUUGGAUAUUUGCUGACCUCUACUGUUUGGGCAUGCUGCUAUUGAUGUGAUAUUUUAU